AACGAACGCUGGCGGCAUGCCUAACACAUGCAAGUCGAACGAGACCUUCGGGUCUAGUGGCGCACGGGUGCGUAACGCGUGGGAACCUGCCCUUAGGUUCGGAAUAACUCCCCGAAAGGGGUGCUAAUACCGGAUAAUGUCUUCGGACCAAAGAUUUAUCGCCUUUGGAUGGGCCCGCGUUGGAUUAGCAAGUUGGUAGGGUAAAAGCCUACCAAGGCGACGAUCCAUAGCUGGUCUGAGAGGAUGAUCAGCCACACUGGGACUGAGACACGGCCCAGACUCCUACGGGAGGCAGCAGGGGGGAAUAUUGGACAAUGGGCGAAAGCCUGAUCCAGCAAUGCCGCGUGAGUGAUGAAGGCCUUAGGGUUGUAAAGCUCUUUUACCCGGGAUGAUAAUGACAGUACCGGGAGAAUAAGCUCCGGCUAACUCCGU
rnacentral:rRNA from 1 species